AUCAAAGGAAUUGAGAUAGUACUAUAUACAGCUAUUAUAUCAGACCCUCUAUUAACCAAAACUUCUGGUAAAAGUUAGUAACACCUGAAACUCCUGUUUCCUCCCCCAUUGAUAAAAAAUUCCAUCAUCUGAAUGUUUCUGAAGUCCCCAAAAUAUUUUAGAUAGAAGUUACACUCCACUGGGUGCUUAGUAGUUUAAUUUUCUUCUAUCACAUGUAACACUUGUUCAUCUUAGCAAAGAGGGAAUUCUCUUGACACCCUUGCACUGUUCUUGUGGAAGACACCAUUCUUCACACAUAAAUACGAAUACACAGUUAAAGAUUUAUAAACAUUCUGCCGGGAUUAGAGGUUACACACUGAUGACUUUCUACAUUCCAUGUCUGUCAAAAUUAGACUGAAUUUCUUGGAACUGGAUUAUAGUAGGUUUCACCUUACUGAUUUGCUCUUCCCACAAAUAUCAUCAGAACUAUGUGUUUCUAACUGUUGAAAAGAAUUCAUUCAGCAGAAUAGAUGACCUCUUUAGAGAGACUUCUUACUAUGUUCACAGUACACUACGGGGGGUCUACACUGCAUUGGAGAGGUGACUGCAGUUUAGGGAGCCAUUGCCAUGAGUUUUAAUUUAGCUACUGCAGCUAAAAAUAGCAGUGAAGAUUUAACAAAACAGACCCCAGCACCAGUUAACAACAUGAGGACGUACCCAGAGUUCUGGGUGUGCUUGUACAGCCCGUGCUGUAGCCUGUGCUGCCUUACCUUCACUGCUAUUUUUAGCUGCACUACCUAAAUUAAAGCUAGCAUAGGUAUGCCCACCGGAGCUACAGUCGCAGCUCUGACUGCAAUGUAGACAUACUCUUAGUGGAACAUCUGUCAGGUUCUAACCACUUCCAGUUAUCAAAAAAUACUUUGGUCUUUUUGUUAACAUCCAAAACUUACUCUCAUCAAGGACACAUGAACAACUGGAUUGUUCAGCACGCAAGAUGUCAAAGGUUUUGACAAGGAAGGGAGUGGAGGAUGUAAAAUAAAAUAGAGAUUGUUCCAUUUCAUAGUGCAGCCAACAAAGUUGGAUUGGGUUUUUAUUUAUUUAUUUUUAAUAGUUUCUUACUUUCCCCGAGACAAGCAGAUUUUCACACACAGAGUACAGAUGCCAGCAAUGACUGUCUUUUUUGGGCAGGGAGGAGAAGCAGCACCAGGAGCAGCUGUCACUGGAAAAAUGUGUAUGCUUUAGGUUUAAAUUUUACUUCUAUUGCUGCAAUUUAUUGCCUUGUCAGUAUGUGUAACAUUUAUUAUUUGAGGGGAUACUUUGGUUCUAUGUAUAUCCUAUUAUAAGAUGUUUCUCAGAACUCCUGCUGUUAUUGUGCAGACUUUCUCCAUGAUAAAUGCAUUUUAUAAUUUCAGAGGACUGGAAUAAAAUCUUUACCAUUGUUUCCCAACAUAGGAGGGCCAAUUGUUGUGUGGACUGCAACAAAUGUGACAUUUAGAUUAGAAUUUGCAAUAUUAUCAGCAUAUACAAUGUGUUCUUAUAUUUACUUUAAACCAGAAUGUUUAAAAUACUGAUCUAGUACUUUGAACAAAUGUUAUUUUUAACCUUUAGAGCCCAUUAGAAAAUGAAGGUUACUUAUCCACAACCAGAGUUCUUUGAGAUGAGCCUCUGGAUAGUCACACUUCUGGGAUGAAGGUGCCUGAGCUGGAAGCUUCUGGAACCUUCUGGAAAGCAGUGUCCACUGGGGUUACUUGCACCUCCUCCUCGCUCCCAACCUGGAGAGUUCUGAGAGUAUAAAAGGGGAAAUAUCCAAGCCACCCCUCAGUUUCUUCCACUAAUUUGGGAAUUCCUAACCUGAGACUCUGAAGAAGUGGAGAAAGUGGGCUGGGAGUGCGAAUAUGCAGAGGCUUAUCUCGAAGAACUCUAGUUUUAGCUGCAGUAUCAGUCAUGCAACACGAUCUGAUGAUGACAGCAUGAGGGCAUGCCACAGACAUGGUCUCUGCUCUGGAUGAAGACUGACAACUUCCAGGACGUUGAAGUUGUGUCAGGUCAUGACAACUGUAAAACACAGUGUGACAGAUGGACAACCUUUGGCUCCUCAGAUUCUUUUUGACCUCAGCUUAACACUCACAAUCAAGACACCAAGCAAUCUAGAAUCAAGAUGUCAACCAGAGAAACUCUGAACCUUGGUGGAGACUCCCACCUCAUCUCACAGGCAGGGGACUCAGUAGUUUGGAAAAAAAUGACUUUAUAGACAUUAAUAUCAAAGUGUAAAUGCCCCCAAUGGUCUGGAAAGCCUGGGGCUAAGCCAAUCCUGAUUACAGGACAAGCCACAUUGGGGUUGAAUCAGCUAAUCUAAUAUAAAAGACAGCAGGAUGCUGCAGAUGUGGGGCUGGUUGAGAGAGUAACUGAAAUUGCCAGAGGCAGGAAACCUAUUGAAUAAGCAGAAGAAAGAUCUCCAAGCAGGGAAGCCUGGGUGAGACCUUCUCCAAGAAGCAAGGUAGAGACUGAGACACAGACCUCAUGAGUUUAUAUUUUGUUCUUCGAGGA